UGGGGUGUCGUCUAAUUGGCAGGACAGCUGACUCUGGAUCAGUAAGUUGGGGUUCGAGUCCCUGCACCCCAGCCA
rnacentral:tRNA from 1 species